rnacentral:lncRNA from 10 species
AAAUACAUUCCAAAGCAACAGGUGAGCUUCAGAGGAGCCAGCUCUCUGGUUUCUACUGAAAUGUUUCUAGCAUUAAACAAACAUUGGAGGAAACACAAACAUCUGUCUGGAAGCGAAGCCUGGAGCUCGUGAAUUCCAGGGCUGGCUGUGGCCCCUGCCUCUGAUUUCCUGUGUGGGCCAGGACAAUUGGCUUCUUCUCUCUGUGUCUUAGUGGAGAGUCCAAGCAACGUUCCUGAAAUCAUGAGGAGCUCUGCCAGGCGCCUCAGCCUGCACAGAGACAGCUCUGCACUGCCUUUCUCUAGGAGCCAGAUCCAACGAGGCUCUUCAAAGGGGCUGGAGGCCCACGGUGGCAGCUGGGCCCUUCCUUCACUCAACACUACUCAACCUCGCUGGGACUAUUUGGAGUCAGAAGUCCUAUGUUUGAGUUUCCACCCAGUGAAGUACCAGCUACAAAACCUUGGCCAAACCACUUCACUUCCCUGGGUCUCAGUUUCCUUGUCUGUAAAAGAACAGUAAUAAAUCCUGCCUUGUGUGUAUUCUAGAUGGUUGAGGAUCAAGCAAGAAAAGAUGCAUAUGAAAACUUUAAGCUAUGAAAUGUAAUAUACCAAGGUAUUGACAAUAUAACAAUAAUUAUUAUUUUCAGUAAUUUCUUGCCUGGGAGGAGUGAUAUACCCAGUCAACUGUGUCUCACAGUGUUUCUAAAAUAUCUUCAGGACAGAGAUUUGUACCAGCCACAGACAGUGGUAGCGACCACACCUACGUUUAGAGUGGCUUCCUGCCGCAGGGUACACCUGUCCUUCCACCUCUUUCAGGUCAACGAUAAGCCAGUGCUCUCAGCAGUAAUCCUUGGCUCCCAAUAAUUACUGUUUGUGAAGACCCAUCUAACACCAGGGAGAGGAGAGGUGUGUUCAUUACUGCGGAGGAGGAGGGCAGUAGAUGACACUUACUUCGUACCCUCUACUCCUUUGCAUAACUUCUUCUGGACUCAGCGUAUGUAGGGUUGUAGUUAUUUGCAG